rnacentral:rRNA from 1 species
GAGAUGUGGGUAGUCCGCACGAGCGCACCUCACUUUUAGUUGCCAUCAUUAAGUUGGGCACUCUGAAAGAACUGCCAGUGAUAAGCUGGAGGAAGGUGGGGAUGACGUCAAGUCCUCAUGGCCCUUACGUGUUGGGCUACACACGUGCUACAAUGGCAUCUACAACAGGAAGCGAAACGGCAACGUUAAGCAAAUCCCGAAAAGAUGCCUCAGUUCGGAUUGCACUCUGCAACUCGAGUGCAUGAAGCUGGAAUUACUAGUAAUCGUGGAUCAGCGUGCCACGGUGAAUGCGUUCCCGGGUCUUGUACACACCGCCCGUCACACCAUGGGAGUUGGUUCUACCUUAAGGCAAGGCUUUAAACCCUUGACCACGGUAUAGUCAGCGACUGGGGUGAAGUCGUAACAAGGUAGCCGUAGGGGAACCUGCAGCUGGAUUACCUCCUUUCU